CUCUCUGUGUGUAUGCAGAGGUGUGCACGUCUUUGUGCAGUUGUGCGUGUGUGCGCACAGCCGUGGGUGCGAGCGCGUCUCCCGCGCACGCCAGGGCUGGCCUUUGUGUCCGCGGGUAGAUAAAAGCGGAAAAUCCGCAGACUCUGAGGCCCAGCCACAGCGGCGCCCCUGCGUGAGGACAGCGAGAGAUUCCAGAAGCCUAGCCAGGCCUUCGCCCUUUGCUCCACCCUCCCCGCCCCCGCCCUUCUGGAGAGAUACCACCCAACUGCAGAACGGGGACAGGAAGAAGGGGUGGGGGCGGGCAGCGGACUGCAACUCUGAAGAGCUAAGGAGAGUGGAAAGGGUAUGGGAGGGGCAGGCAGAAAGAGGAAGCGGUGAGAACUGGAGAUAAGGUAGGGACAGAGAGAUGACCACCGUUGGUGGCCGAUAACGUCGUCGUUGUUAGCACCCAGGCCUACCUUGGUUGCCUGCAAUGGUGACUCUGAACACUAGCCAUCUCGGAUCCCAUUCCAUGCGUAUUGGCUGGGUCCUAAGACCAGCAGGUGACCUGUCCACGGGUUGAAGGGACUUACUUGUUCUUGUGAGCAGGCUCCUGAAUACAAUAGUGUCCAACAGAGUCUACUGUCUGCAGUUUUCUUGGUAUCCUUGGAAAUCUUGACUUUCCUCAAGUUCCAUACCACGCCAGAAGCUGCAAGCAGGUGAUCGGGCUCUCUGAUCCAUUCCUAUCAUUGUGACGCCAUUUGCCCUGAAGCCCUCAACAAAACUGUUUUCAAACAGCACCAGGUCCUUGAAAAUCAAGAGCUAAAUAAACUUCUUUAUAAACA